GGUCUAAACAAGAGCCUUGAUGAUUCGUAGGAGAAUUCUUAGCAUCAAGCCAUUACCCAGCAUCCGAAAAGUUUUCUCUGAAGUCUGCCAAGAAGAGAGUAGAAGGAAAGUGAUGCCAGGGACAUCAUGCAAUCCACAAGAGACAGAAAAUUUAGUCCCUGCUGUACAAGGACCAAAAUCCUACCAAGGUAGUGAAAAUCGACAGAAGAAAGGUAACAGACCUUGGUGUGACCACUGUCAGAAGGCUGGACACACACAGGAAAAUUAUUGGCAAAUCCAUGGGAAACCUACUGACUACAAACCACAUUCUACUUGAAAUCGAAAGAAUCAUGAAAAUUCUGCCACCACCGAGACAACUCCAACACCCCUGGAAUCAAGCCCAUUUAGUAGAGAGCAGUUGGAA
rnacentral:lncRNA from 1 species